UGGUAGGGCACCAUGGCCAGGAACACCACCAUCGAGGCGGUAAAGCGCAAGAUCCAGGUUCUGCAGCAGCAGGCUGAUGAUGCAGAGGAGAGGGCCGAGCACCUCCAGCGGGAAGUGGAGGGAGAAAGGUGGGCCCGGGAGCAGGCCGAAGCUGAGGUGGCCUCCUUGAACCACAGGAUCCAGGAGCUGGACCGUGCCCAGGAGCACCUUGCCACUGCUUUGCAGAAGCUGGAGGAAGCAGAGAAGGCUGCUGAUGAGAGUGAGAGAGGUAUGAAGGUGAUUGAAGAUCGGGCUCUAAAAGAUGAAGAAAAGAUGGAACUCCAGGAAAUCCAGCUAAAGGAGGCAAAGCACAUUGCAGAAGAGGCAUACAGGAAGUAUGAAGAAGUGGCUCGUAAGUUGGAGAUUAUUGAAGGAGACUUGGAACGCACGGAGGAACGUGCAGAGCUGGCAGAGUCCCGUUGCCGAGAGAUGGAUGAGCAGAUCAGACUGAUGGACCAGAACCUGAAGUGUCUGAGUGCUGCUAAAGAAAAGUACUCUUAAAAAGAAGACAAAUAUAAAGAAAUAAAGAUUCUUACUGAUAUACUCAAGGAGGCAGAGACCCAUGCUGAGUUUGCUGAAAGAUCAGUAGCCAAACUGGAGAAGACCAUUGAUGACUUGGAAGAUAAACUGAAGUGCACCAAAGAGGAGCAUCUCUGUACACAGAGGAUGCUAGACCAGACCCUGCUGGACCUGAACGAGAUGUAGACCUCCCCCAUCCCUGCCCUGCAGCUGCUCCUCCCUCUGACCUUGACUCCGCUGGAGGCCAGCCUCCUGAAGCUGACCUUGACACUGAGGGCUGAUCUUUUUAACUGAAGGCUGCUUUCCCUCCUGCCACCCCCUCUACCCCUCUUGUCUUUUUCACAAAACUGUAUCAGCCUCUUCCCAGAGUUCCAGCUGGAGGGGCUGAACAUCUUUGGGAACAAUAUUUAAGGGAAUGUGAGCACAAUGCAGUGUCUUCAAUGCAGUUGUGAUAUACACAUUGUGAUUACUUUUUGUCUUAGCAACCAUUUUUAACAUUCCAAGCACUUCUGCCGCUUGGAGCAGCACAUUGGAUACUGUCUCACCAUGGAGGAGAAACCCAGAAUUGGGCCUGCCUUCCUGAGAGCCAGCAGAGCCCAGGCAGGCUCCUGUGGGAGACCUCAGUGCUCUGCACCAAGUCUUAGCCAAACAACAGGGGGAUUCUAGAAAGUUAGCCAAAAACAAAAAACUGUUCCGGGCUGUGAAAGUUUUCAGCUUUGGUUUCUUUGAACAACUUUACACUUAUUUUUAUUUUGUACUUUUUCCAUCAGAUGUGACCAAAUAAGACAUUGAGACGGCUGAGACAGCCCCACCUCCCAGGGCCUCAUGCAUGUUAGGCAAGCAUGCUACCUUUCAGCCCCAGCCCUGAGCCCAAACUUGUCGCAGCUCUACCCCUUUCCUAACUGCUCAAAGAUGGAUCAUGCCGCCCUUUAGUGUUGUGGUGACCUCUUAGAGGUCACCUGCCCCCAAGGGAGUCAGAGAAAGGAAAAUUAUGUUUGUACCACUGAUUUAGCCACAUGAACAUCAUCUCAUCACCCUUUCCUGAAGCUGUGGUCUCUAAAGCGCCAUCUCAUU